CUGGUGCUGGUCACCUUCCAGUCCCCAGUCAACUUCUACCGCUGGAAGAUAGAGCAGCUGCAGAUCCAGAUGGAGGCUGCCCCCUUCCGCAGCAAAGAGCCAUGCAUGGCAGAGGAAGUGUGUAGCAUGAGCUGGUACACGCCCAUGCCCAUCAAGAAAGGCAGUGUGGUCAUGCGUGUGGACAUCAGCAGCAAUGGCCUGGGGACCUUCAUUCCAGAUAAAAGGUUCCAGAUGAAUAUCAACGGCUUCCUGAAGAGAGACCGGGACAAUAACAUCCAAUUCACUGUGGGAGAGAAGCUCUUCAACCUGAUGCCCCAGUACUUUGUGGGUGUCUCAUCGAGGCCCUUGUGGCACACUGUGGACCAGUCACCUGUGCUUAUCCUGGGAGGCAUUCCCAAUGAGAAGUACGUCCUGAUGACUGACACCAGCUUCAAGGACUUCUCUCUCGUGGAGCUAGUGAUGACCUGGAACUUCUCUACCACAUCCCAGAAUUCAUCCCUGAAGCUCGAGGAUUGGAGUUCCUGAUGAUCCUAGGGACAGAGUCCUACACCAGCACUGCAAUGGCCCCCAAGGGCAUCUUCUGUAACCCGUACAACAACCUGAUCUUCAUCUGGGGCAACUUCCUCCUGCAGA
rnacentral:sRNA from 1 species